CAAUAGCGUAUAUUAAAGUUGUUGCGGUUAAAAAGCUCGUAGUUGGAUUUCUGCUGAGAACGGUCGGUCCACUCUUGGAGUGUGUAUCUGAUUCGGUCUUGGCAUCCUCUCGGAAACGGCUGCGCUUCAUUGCGUGGUCGGUGUCCGAGACUUUUACUUUGAGGAAAUUAGAGUGUUCACGGCAGGCUUCCGCCUUGAAUAUAUUAGCAUGGAAUAAUAAUAUAGGAUCUUGGUUCUAUUUUGUUGGUUUCUAGAGCUAAGAUAAUGAUUAAUAGGGACAAUUGGGGGCAUUCGUAUUAACGCGUCAGAGGUGGAAUUCUUGGAUUGCGUUACGACGAACUACUGCGAAAGCAUUUGCCAAGGAUGUUUNCAUUGA
rnacentral:rRNA from 1 species